GACCUUCUUGUAUUAGAUGUUCCAGAAGAAUGCUACGUGGCCACAGACUGUGAACUGUUUAGACAGUGCCUAGGUCCGGAAUAUUCCUUAAAACCACAGCUAUUAUAAAUCGUAGAAAACUAAAAUAAAA